ACAUAUGAUGGCUUCCUUGGAAUCUUGACUGAUAUUUGGCUGCUGAGACUGGAAUUCCAAUAUGC
rnacentral:snoRNA from 1 species